GGGGGCGACGGGGUGGGGAAGGACGACCGCGGGGCCAAGGCUGAGCCGGAGGCGGAGGUAGAGAGCGAGGCGGGGGAGGAGAGCGAGUCCGAGGGAGACAGUGAGUCGGAUGAAGAGAGUGAGUCGCAGGAGGAGAGUGAGGAGGAACGUGAGGAAGAGAGUGAAGAGGACAGUGAGGAAGACAUGGAGGAUGAGCCCGAGAGCGAGGCGGAGGAGGAUAACCAAGAAGGAGAGUACGAGGCGGAAGGGGAAACUGAGGCAGAGAGCGAAUUUGACCCAGAAAUAGAAAUGGAAGCAGAGAGAGUGGCCAAGAGGAAAUGUCCGCACCAUGGGCUCGACUUGAGCACUUAUUGCCAGGAAGACAGGCAGCUCAUCUGUGUGCUGUGUCCAGUCAUUGGUGCACACCAGGGCCACCAGCUCUCUACGCUAGAUGAAGCCUUCGAAGAACUAAGAAGCAAAGACUCAGGCGGACUGAAGGCGGCUAUGAUCGAGUUGGUGGAAAGGUUAAAGUUCAAGAGCUCAGACCCUAAAGUAACUCGGGACCAGAUGAAGGUGUUUAUACAGCAGGAAUUUAAGAAAGUUCAGAAGGUGAUUGCCGACGAGGAGCAAAAGGCCCUUCAUCUGGUGGACAUCCAGGAAGCCAUGGCCACAGCUCACGUGACUGAGAUCUUGGCAGACAUUCAAUCCCACAUGGACAGGCUGAUGACUCAAAUGGCCCAGGCCAAGGAACAACUUGGUACCUCUAAUGAGUCAGCUGAGCCAAAGGCAGAGGGCGAUGAGGAAGGAGCCAGGAGAAAGAAAAGAAAAUGUCUAUAUAGAAGCAGGGAAAAAGAAGAAAGCUGAAAAGGACAACUGCAAGCUGAUGUGAAUCAUGCUUCAGGAAAAGCAUCGAGGAAAACAGAAUCACGGAAAACUAUAGCUAUUCCAUGGAAAAGAUCAUCAGUAAAAGCAUGGAUCACACUGGACAAAGAUGAUGCUCCAGUGCUUCAGGAAGGAGCUGCACCUC